rnacentral:rRNA from 1 species
CAGCAGCCACGGUAAUACGGAGGGCGCGAGCGUUACCCGGAUUUACUGGGCGUAAAGGGCGUGUAGGCGGCCUGGGGCGUCCCAUGUGAAAGGCCACGGCUCAACCGUGGAGGAGCGUGGGAUACGCUCAGGCUAGAGGGUGGGAGAGGGUGGUGGAAUUCCCGGAGUAGCGGUGAAAUGCGCAGAUACCGGGAGGAACGCCGAUGGCGAAGGCAGCCACCUGGUCCACUUCUGACGCUGAGGCGCGAAAGCGUGGGGAGCAAACCGGAUUAGAUACCCCUGUAGUCCCUGUCUCUUAUAC